rnacentral:lncRNA from 1 species
ACAGGGAGUGCUCUGAUAGAAAAAAAUGAACAGUGCAUUCACUUCUCACCUCUGACAGCUGGCCUGAGAUUGAUAUCUGCCAUUUCUGCCUUCACUAGGGUAUCAGGUAAUGAGAGCUGGUAAAGGAUUUGGUGAUGUCAGAAUAAAAGCCUUUCAUAAUACUAAGAACUGUCAGAAUGCUUAAAAAUAUGACCAUGGGACGUCGUCACCAGCAAGAACUUUUUUGUGAGAUGUGAUGAGCAAGUGGAUAUCAACUCAUAUCAACACCAUGAAACACUGCACUGUUGGUCACGAAAGAGGAGAUACAUCACACCAGAGACGGAUGAAGCUAUUUGUGCCAUUUACAAUGCCAAGGAAACAGACAGGGUGCCUAUGGCCAUUAUUUCAAAGCUAUAAAACUUGUGUCUUUGCCCGCAGUGGAAUAUACUCUAAAUUGGUCACAGUCAAAAAGGAUUCAAAAAACCAUGAGAAAAAUAGAAGAAAGAAAACCUUCCCAGAUCAUUGUUGGACACACAUACAUGUACACAACUGAGUGAUAACAGAGAAGGAACUCAAGGAUCCCGAUGAUGUCAUUUGGAUCAUAUAAAACCAGAACCAUCCUGUGCCAAAGACCUUCCUGCUCGCUACUUUUACACUGAGUGAUGGAUAGGGCCUAUGAACUUCCACUUGCUCCAGUGGCUUCUCUAAGAUAGCCUGCAUUUGAGAAGGGAAAGAAGAUCCAGACAUAGACCUUACUAGCCACCCUGCUGGUGAUGAAUGUCUCCAGGCUGCAGGUGAAAACGGUGUCUGAGGCAGCUCAUGGAGGAAGCAUCUGUGAAGGCCCCACGGAGACAAAACGUUUGAGUGGGACCUUAAAAUAAAAGUAGAAUUUGGACCAUCGGACCUGAAGGAGAGUUGCAAGAACGUGUCUCCUCUUGGUGCUGUCAGUGCGCUGCACAGGGAUCAUGGGCUUGGGCAGCCGUGUGGGAUGAAAGCCUUCAGCCAGAGGCAAGCAUGAAGUGCAUGUAAAAUCUUGGGCAGGAAGGCAGAAACUGAGCCUUUUCAUUCUCUCUGAAAUCCUUUCCGCAUCCCUGGUUCACAGGAGAUAGAAGGCCACUGAAGUAACGUGCCAAGCUCUGUGCCAGGAACUGGGCAUACAAAAGUGAUGAAGACACAGUCACUGAUCUCAAGGAACUCGUAGCCUAGAGAUGAAGACAGACGCGUAAAUAAUAAUUACAAGGUGAGAAAACAGAAUGAUAAAGAAGGGAAGUCACAUUCCAAAGCUGCUCAAUUAGCUGUCACCUGAUGGCUGGCCAGAGUCAGUGCUGUGCUGGGCAGCUAGAACUCCAACAGAAAUCCAGCAGUCUUUCUGAGCUAAAGAACCAGAGACCAGUGUUUGGGGUAAGUACUACGAAGUGAGAGGGCAAGUCAGAAAAGAGAGAACCAGAGAGGGAAACCCCCAAAUUCUGUGUACAAAUUCUUCCUAAAUCUCUGGCUAUUCUCUGAGUUGUGCCUGCAGGAAACUGACUCAAAGCAGCUUGCCCAAAGGCAAAGUAUCUAAAGUCAAAUUAGAAUGGUUUUCCAAGACAAAAAAUUUGACUUUGAGCCCAACCAAUUUAACUGCCUCCUAAAACAAAAACAUCAAUACUUUUUGGAGGAAUAUAACAGAAACCAGAGUCUACACAACAUAACAUUUGCAAUGGCUGGG